rnacentral:rRNA from 1 species
CCUACGGGGGGCAGCAGUGGGGAAUAUUGGACAAUGGGCGCAAGCCUGAUCCAGCCAUGCCGCGUGUGUGAUGAAGGCCUUAGGGUUGUAAAGCACUUUCGCCGGUGAAGAUAAUGACGGUAACCGGAGAAGAAGCCCCGGCUAACUUCGUGCCAGCAGCCGCGGUAAUACGAAGGGGGCAAGCGUUGCUCGGAAUCACUGGGCGUAAAGCGCACGUAGGCGGGUCGUUAAGUCAGGGGUGAAAUCCUGGAGCUCAACUCCAGAACUGCCUUUGAUACUGGCGACCUAGAGUUCGAGAGAGGUUGGUGGAACUCCGAGUGUAGAGGUGAAAUUCGUAGAUAUUCGGAAGAACACCAGUGGCGAAGGCGGCCAACUGGCUCGAUACUGACGCUGAGGUGCGAAAGCGUGGGGAGCAAACAGGAUUAGAUACCCCGGUAGUCC